rnacentral:rRNA from 1 species
UACAGAGGGUGCGAGCGUUAAUCGGAAUUACUGGGCGUAAAGGGCACGUAGGUGGAUAAAUAAGUCAGAUGUGAAAUACCUGGGCUCAACCUGGGAAGUGCAUAUGAUACUGUUUGUCUAGAGUAUGGUAGAGGAAAGGGGAAUUCACAGUGUAGCGGUGAAAUGCGUAGAUAUUGUGAGGAACAUCAGUGGCGAAGGCG